rnacentral:lncRNA from 1 species
GAAAUUAUUUUCUUCUGAAUUGUCUGCCCAUAGGUGGCGUUUUUAGGUUAUGUGUUUCAUCUGAUUUGGCGGUUAAAUCAUUCGGCACGACAGGGUCCACUCGAUCGGUCACGUUUAUUUUUUAAUACUACGGUUUUCAUAGAUUUUGUAUCAUGCAUUAAGAGAUUAUUUUGCUUUACAUGUGUGGGUUCACUGAAUGAACUAUUUACAUAUUUAUACGAGGAC